rnacentral:rRNA from 1 species
GACGAACGCUGGCGGCGUGCUUAACACAUGCAAGUCGAACAGAAAGGCCCUGCUUUUGUGGGGUGCUCGAGUGGCGAACGGGUGCGUAACACGUGAGUAACCUGCCCUUGACUUUGGGAUAACUUCAGGAAACUGGGGCUAAUACCGGAUAGGAGCUCCUGUUGCAUGGUGGGGGUUGGAAAUUUUCGGCGGUUGGGGAUGGACUGGCGGCUUAUCAGCUUGUUGGUGGGGUGGUGGCUUACCAAGGCUUUGACGGGUAGCCGGCAUGAGAGGGUGACCGGCCACAUUGGGACUGAGAUACGGCCCAGACUCCUACGGGAGGCAGCAGUGGGGAAUAUUGCACAAUGGGCGGAAGCCUGAUGCAGCAACGCCGCGUGCGGGAUGACGUCCUUCGGGUUGUAAACCGCUUUCGCCUGUGACGAAGCGUGAGUGACGGUAAUGGGUAAAGAAGCACCGGCUAACUACGUG